UGGGGAAUAUUGCACAAUGGGCGCAAGCCUGAUGCAGCGACGCCGCGUGAGGGAUGACGGCCUUCGGGUUGUAAACCUCUUUCAGCAGGGACGAAGCGCAAGUGACGGUACCUGCAGAAGAAGCACCGGCCAACUACGUGCCAGCAGCCGCGGUAAUACGUAGGGUGCGAGCGUUGUCCGGAAUUACUGGGCGUAAAGAGCUCGUAGGCGGUUUGUCGCGUCGUCUGUGAAAUUCUGCAGCUUAACUGCAGGCGUGCAGGCGAUACGGGCAGACUUGAGUACUACAGGGGAGACUGGAAUUCCUGGUGUAGCGGUGAAAUGCGCAGAUAUCAGGAGGAACACCGGUGGCGAAGGCGGGUCUCUGGGUAGUAACUGACGCUGAGGAGCGAAAGCGUGGGUAGCGAACAGGAUUAGAUACCCUGGUAGUCCACGCCGUAAACGGUGGGUACUAGGUGUGGGUUCCAUUUCACGGGAUCCGUGCCGUAGCUAACGCAUUAAGUACCCCGCCUGGGGAGUACGGCCGCAAGGCUAAAACUCAAAUGAAUUGACGGGGUCAUAGCUGUUUCC
rnacentral:rRNA from 1 species